AACUUUUUCCCAAGCGAGACACAUUUCUGAGUAUUUGGCGUUCAAGUAGAAAAAUAUGAGUCAUGGGAAAUCUUUUGUGUUCUUGAUCUAAAGUUGAAGUUUUAAGUGCUACAACACACAACCACCUGUCGACAUUGCCAUAUAAAAGGUACAGGUGUAGACUCUAGUUCACUAGGACCAAGAUGAAACUUCCGUCGUACUUAGCGUGGUUUGGGGCGAAUCGGCAAAAAAUGAAUGGACGAACACGGGUUAGUCAAAGAUCUGCAGAGAAAGCAAGGAAGAUGGCGAUCCCACGUGCUGUUAUGGAGAGAUUCCUCGCUUCUAAUUUCGAGGGCGAUUACAAACCGGUUCCGCUCAACCACCAGGGCAAGUACCAGCUGCUCACGGUCAUGGCGGAGGACAGAUGCGUGCUGAGAAGGUGGAGAAAAACGCCCAAACUGCGUCCAGUCGGCGUCUUGGAGAACUAUUUCGUCAGCGCAGUGUUUAACGACAAGCUGAAGGAGGUUAUCCACGAGCAGAGAGGCUACCACGGACAGGGAGAGCAUGUGGGGACGAACCGUAUUGCCGGGGGAGUAGAGGUAGACUCGGUCGUGGACCGAGUCAGCGUCAGCGCGAGCAGCUUUAGCCAGGCAGAAGCAGACGAACCAGACGGAGCCGGGGCGGGAGUUCAUAAGGAGGUAGUGAUCCCUCCCAUGAAACUUGGUCGCGUGUGGCAGACGUGGAUUGAGGAGGAGGACCUAGCGGACAGCAUCAGGAACGUCAGGACCUCACUCACAGACAAGGACAAAAGGCUCUACCUGAUCAACGACCUGUUCCACAGCCAGUGUUUCAAACUUCUGGACCAAUUUGAAACUUCCAUGGGCAUAAACGGGAACGUUUCUGGCUUUGCAAAGCUCUUCAGUGCUUCAGCUAAGGCUUCGAGGGAAAGCACGUCUGCAACCAUCCUGGAGCGAAAACACGAGGCACCCAUUGCCUUUGGCUGUGUACGAGUAAAGGUCCAAGAAGAUGGAACCCUGAUGGUGGUCAGGACAAACUCAGUGUCCGGAAUUGUGGACCCUACCCGAGGACCCUUACUGCGGCCACGAGGAGUGGACAAAGGAUUGGUGCAUCACAUAGAGCUGGGGAGGCUGGGCAGUGAAUCCCCAUCUCCUCCUGCAAGUGAUGAAGAAGAGACAAGCCCAGACUGCCCACAAGGAUUUGUGCGCAGGAAGGACGUGAAGUCCCUGGGGACCAGGGAGGACCCCACCCUGCUGGAAACCUUCAGUAGACUCCAGGCCCUGGCACCUGUUCUGCUGGAGGCACAGACACCUGAAGAUCUCGUGCCCCUUGUGGAAAUUCUGGACAUUGCGCACUCGGGAGAGAUUCCGUCCAUGGAACUGGACGCUGUUCUGUCGGGAAACCAGCGCCUGUUGCUGGCGGAGUGCGGCAUCAGGGUGGCGGACAGGGAGGGUAAAGUCUGCGCCCUGUACAUCACAACAAGCAGCGAGCCAGAUUUCCCAAAGGCCGUGGCUAAGAUUGAACAGUAUGGAGAACUCCUGGAGGAUAUCGUAGGUCAGUUAUCAGCCUGUUGUCUCAUACACGUUGUAGUUAAUGAUACAAAUUUGGUGGGUUGACGAGUCCACACCAGUGGUAGGUAAAACAAAUGUAACUCUGAUCAUGACCAGGAGUGAAAGCUGGGGUAGUUUCUCCAUGUCUUAUACAUCUAAUAUAUACCAGUAGUUUCUAUUUUGGGGAGUUGAUCUAAAGUAAAGAAACUCAUAUAUUAUAUUUACACAUCAAUAACUACCAAAUUCUCAUGGUCUCAAUUAGACCACUGGUAAACAAAAGUCUUAAGAAACCUUACUGUGAUAUGAUAUUGGGGCCUGCAUG